GCGGGCGUGGCGGAAUGGUAGACGCAGCGGAUUCAAAAUCCGCCGUUGGUGACAACAUGCCGGUUCGAGUCCGGCCGCCCGUACCA
rnacentral:tRNA from 3 species